rnacentral:rRNA from 1 species
CCUACGGGUGGCAGCAGUGAGGAAUAUUGGUCAAUGGCCGGAAGGCUGAACCAGCCAAGUCGCGUGAGGGAGGAAGGCGCUGAGCGUCGUAGACCUCUUUUGUCGGGGGAUAAAAGGCGGGACUUGUCCCGUCCUGUGUGUACCCGGAGAAAAAGCAUCGGCUAACUCCGUGCCAGCAGCCGCGGUAAUACGGAGGAUGCGAGCGUUAUCCGGAUUUAUUGGGUUUAAAGGGUGCGAAGGCGGGCUUUUAAGCCGGCGGUGAAAUGUGGGGGCUAAACCCCGCCGUGCCGUGGGAACUGGGGGCCUUGAGUGCGGCGGAGGCAUGCGGAAUGCGGGGUGUAGCGGUGAAAUGCUUAGAUAUCGCGCAGAACCCCGAUUGCGAAGGCAGCGUGCCGUGCCGCGACUGACGCUGAGGCACGAAAGCGCGGGGAUCGAACAGGAUUAGAUACCCGAGUAGUC